AAGCAGGUAAACAGAAGUCAAAGCCAAAAAAAAAAAAAAAAAACUAUCCUUCAUCUCAAUUAGUAGCUCCAACGGGAACGGUAAGAGAAUAGUUAAAAUAUCUCCUUUCUUCCAUGAAAGCAACUCCUCCAUGUUCCUCGAGAAAGCCAAGACCAGCAAAGCAAGGCCAUUAAAAAAAAAAUAUGAAUUAAAUACAGCCAUGUAAAAAAAAAAAAAAAAAAAAACUCUUCAAAGAAAAGUAAAGCACUUUCUUCUCCCUCUCGAAUUCAAAUGACUCUUUAGACGAUUUUUUUUUAAUUGGAAAAAAAAGACAUGUUUAUAUUAUUCAAAAUGCUAUAUUAACAUUUUGACAUUUCAAAAUAGAAUCUUGCCUUGGAGAUGCUCGUAGGCACGACUCAAAUAUCUCUUUAUGUUACACAUGGUAUUCAAUUUUUCUCUUGAAACUACUACAUGAACAUGAGAGUGAGUCAACACAAAACUUAAGACAGAGGAGGUGUCUGUCUAACUUUCUUGCUCUGGAUUUUUCUUGAUGGACAUAAGAAAUGUUAUAGAUUGUUAAAGUUGAAAUUGUUGUUUCUAAGCUAAAUUUAAACAAAGGAUUGGGUCUGUUUGGAGUGUGGUUGCGGUUGCUUUUCAAAAUGCUUUUCAUGCCAAAAUAUAUUAAGAUGAUAUAUUUUUUUAUUUUUUAAAAAUUAUUUUUAAAAUCAGCACAUUAAAACUAUUCAAAACAUAUAAAAAAAUUAAUUUUUAGCUAAAAAAAUUGAAUUUUUUAGAAACACGGGUUGACCCAUGUUUUCAAACGGGCUCUAUAUAUAUUAUGCAGAAGUUUGGAAAUAAGUGAAACUUGCAAACUUAUAUACAUAAAACUUAGCAUGCAUUCU
rnacentral:lncRNA from 1 species